rnacentral:rRNA from 1 species
AACAAGGAUUCCCCUAGUAACUGCGAGUGAAGCGGGAAAAGCUCAAAUUUAAAAUCUGGCGGUCUCUGGCCGUCCGAGUUGUAAUCUAGAGAAGUAAUGCCCGUGCUGGACCGUGUAUAAGUCUCCUGGGAUGGGGCGUCAUAGAGGGUGAGAAUCCCGUCUUUGACACGGACUACCAGUGCAUUGUGGUAUGCUCUCAAAGAGUCGAGUUGUUUGGGAAUGCAGCUCAAAAUGGGUGGUAAAUUCCAUCUAAAGCUAAAUAUUGGCGAGAGACCGAUAGCGAACAAGUACCGUGAGGGAAAGAUGAAAAGAACUUUGGAAAGAGAGUUAAACAGUACGUGAAAUUGCUGAAAGGGAAACGCUUGAAGUCAGUCGCGUUGGCCAGGGAUCAGCCUUGCUUUUGCAUGGUGUACUUUCUGGUUGACGGGUCAGCAUCAAUUUUGACCGCUGGAAAAGGGCCUGGGGAAUGUGGCAGCUUCGGCUGUGUUAUAGCCCCUGGUCGCAUACAGUGGUUGGGAUUGAGGAACUCAGCAAACCGCAAGGC